rnacentral:rRNA from 1 species
UACGAAGGGGGCUAGCGUUGUUCGGAGUUACUGGGCGUAAAGAGUGCGUAGGCGGUUUUCUAAGUUUGGUGUGAAAUCUCCCGGCUUAACUGGGAGGGUGCGCCGAAAACUGGAAGGCUUGAGUAUGGGAGAGGUAAGCGGAAUUCCUGGUGUAGCGGUGAAAUGCGUAGAUAUCAGGAGGAACACCUGCGGUGUAGACGGCUUACUGGACCAUAACUGACGCUGAGGCACGAAAGCGUGGGUAGCAAACAGG